AGAAAUCUUAACCAAAAAAGGAAAAAAAAAUGGCAAACUUUUUGUCUUUGUUUAAAAUUAUGUUUCUUUUGGUGUUGUGUUUCAUGGGCAAUGCAGAGGCAAAUAUUUGUCAAGCAAAAAGCAGCACAUUCACUGGAUCAUGUGAUGCUGCGCCAAAGUGUACAGAUGCAUGUAGAAGUGAAGGUUAUCAAUUUGGAACUUGUAGUGACACCAAAGAAUGUUAUUGCAUGAAGCCAUGUCCUCCCAAUUAAAUUAUUAAUCUCCAAUAAUAUUAACUUUUUGGUUUUUUUAUUACUUUUUGAUAUCAUUGUAUUUUUAUGAGGCACAAAUAAAUAUAUAAAUCUAUUUUGAUGAUCAA